AACUCCACACGUGCUGCCUUAGGAGCUGUAACACUCACCGCAAAGGUCUGCAGCUUCACUCCUGAAGCCAGCGAGACCACAAACCCACCAGAAGGAAGCAACUCCGAACAUCAGAAGGAACAAAGUCCGGACACAACAUCUUUAAGAACUGUAACACUCACCACGAGGGUCCGCAGCUUCAUUCUUGAAGUCAGUGAGACCAACAACCCACCAAUUCCAGACACACUCUGAGUGCUGGCUUCAAAGAGGAGAAAGCUUUAGUGCCAUACAAAAGGGACCUGAUUGCCAAUGGCUGAGUGGAGGAUUCCCGGUGCCAGUAGGCAUUUCUGUUGUUGUUUCUGCUGGAGGAAAAUAUGGGGAAAGAGAGUGGAUGGCAAACACAGCGAAGCCUCUAGAUUUGGAGUAAUACACAUCAUGUUUUGUGACUUCUUAUGGAAAUGCUGAUGUUGAAAUAAUCUUUAUGAAGGAGAAAAAAAUAGUUUGUUUAUACUGUCUUCAUGAAAUAAGAAUUUAGUGAGCUCACUACUGCAUUUUAUAAUAGAGUUUAAAUUUAAAUUAUUGCAACCAAAAUAAUUGAAAAAGGCAUUUAGAUAUAUUUAAGCAAGACAUAUACAUUUUUUAAUUAUGAGGAGUCAAAGGUCAUGUCUACAUGCAUCAGAAGAUUUGGACACAUAAUGAAUGUGUGUUGAAAAGAGCCCGGCAAAGGUAUAUGUAAACUGAACCUACUCCCAUUUUAGUUACUAAUUUUAUUCUAACAUCCCUGAAUGUUCAUUAUUUUAUGGAUGAUCAAACUAAGUUCCAUCCAGUUUCAAAACUAAGAUUCUGUGAAAGUUUUAUUUCACUUCAUUAUAAAGCAGGAUAACCCAAAAGAAAUACAAUGUAAGCCACAUCUUUAAUU
rnacentral:lncRNA from 10 species